AUCCAUGCCUAUAAAACGUAAGCCAAAAUUUGUAAAUUCAUAGGCCUAAAUCAGUUAGCUACAUAACUUUGAAGCAGCAGAUAAAUCUUAAGAAGACAAAAUGCUCGGAAAAGCAGUGCCCUUAGGUGUGGUCUUCACCCUAUUGUGGGUUAUCGUUCUCUUACUUUCCUUUCAGACACCAGUCGCACGUCGGCUCGUUGCUACUCAAAUGGAAUGCCAUAGGGGAGGAGUAGACCCAGGCUGCUCUCCUCGCAGUCCACAUGGAUCACCUCCAUAGGGUUGUUGGCUAAUUAGCAUCUCCAAGAUCUCGUCCUCACACCUAGUGGUUUUCGACCUGGUUCUGCAGCAAUUUGCUGUACACUUGUAUUCACUGUAUUCUGGAUACAUUUAGAGUCUAAGAAUUGUAUAUUCAGAUGAAUGACAUGUUAACCUUUCUUCUUGUAUCAAGUUCGUUAAUCAGUGUCAUAAUUUAGAUGCUACUACGGUAAGAAAAAUUUCCCCAUCAAGCUGC